GAAAUGCGAUAAGUAGUGUGAAUUGCAGAAUUCCGUGAAUCAUCGAGUCUUUGAACGCACAUUGCGCCCCCUGGUAUUCCGGGGGGCAUGCCUGUCCGAGCGUCAUUGCUGCCCAUCAAGCACGGCUUGUGUGUUGGGUCGUCGUCCCCUCUCCGGGGGGGACGGGCCCCAAAGGCAGCGGCGGCACCGCGUCCGAUCCUCGAGCGUAUGGGGCUUUGUCACCCGCUCUGUAGGCCCGGCCGGCGCUUGCCGAACGCAAAUCAAUCUUUUUCCAGGUUGACCUCGGAUCAGGUAGGGAUACCCGCUGAACUUAAGC
rnacentral:misc_RNA from 1 species